rnacentral:misc_RNA from 1 species
GUUUUUCUUGUUCACGACCUUCAUCCCCAUUCUGAUCCACCAAAUUCAAACUUGCAAGUUUCUCUCCCAUGGAUGGCUCAUUUAAAUCAUCAUUAAAUAGAACAUUAGAAGCAUCUCCGUUGCCCACGUCACUAAUGUCCCCAGCUGUCAGACUAUCAAGAUCAGAUGCUGCUCUUUUCUUUUUGCUUUUCUUACUUUUAGGGCUAACCACUGCUUG